UUGCCAACAAGGCUGGGGAGACUAACCCUCCACCACUGAAUCGCUUUGCACGCUCCAAGUCCCAGAAUGCCUUGUGGAACGCCAUCACUGCAGGAUCGGGAUCAAGGAUAAGGAUAAGAGAGGGAUUCUUAUCGAUCCCGCAGUCCAGAGGAGAUUCUGGCUGACGACCUGCCAGUCUGGACGGGCCAGAUGCCAUGAGAAGACUGCCAUCAGG